rnacentral:tRNA from 1 species
GCACUCGUAGCUCAAUUGGAUAGAGCAACGGUCUACGGAACCGUAGGUUGGAGGUUCGAGUCCUCCCGAGUGCG